rnacentral:rRNA from 1 species
GAUGAACGCUGGCGGCGUGCUUAACACAUGCAAGUCGAACGGAAAGGCCCAAGCUUGCUUGGGUACUCGAGUGGCGAACGGGUGAGUAACACGUGGGUGAUCUGCCCUGCACUUCGGGAUAAGCCUGGGAAACUGGGUCUAAUACCGGAUAGGACCACAUUUUGGAUGGUGUGGUGGAAAGUUUUUCGGUGUGGGAUGAGCUCGCGGCCUAUCAGCUUGUUGGUGGGGUAAUGGCCUACCAAGGCGUCGACGGGUAGCCGGCCUGAGAGGGUGUACGGCCACAGUGGGACUGGGAUUGGGCCCAGACUCCUACGGGAGGCAGCAGUGGGGAAUAUUGCACAAGGGGCGCAAGCCUGAUGCAGCGACGCCGCGUGGGGGAUGACGGCCUUCGGGUUGUAAACGCCUUUCGCUAGGGACGAAGCGUUAUGUGACGGUACCUGGAGAAGAAGCACCGGCUAACUACGUG